AAAAAAGGAAAACUUUUCAAGCUUUCCUUAAAAUAAAGAAUGUAAAGAUAAUAUUGCUAUAGGUCUAAUGUCACACAUGAGUUGAUUAAUAUUUUUAUGAAUAGAUAAACAGAAAAAAAAAUAAUAAAAGAUGAUAAACUUUAACUGCCGAAUAUAGGUUUUUAAUUAUAUUUUGCAAUAAAAUUAUUAGUAACUGGCCAAAAAAUGUGAGUUUCGGAUACCGACAUAGAACCUCAUUCAUGCAGUGAUAUAAUUCCUAUUGUUAUCGGUGGUGUUGUGGCAGUUGUUAUCACGUUACUAGGAAGCAUCGCUAACUACGUCAUUUGGAAAAGAAAUAAUGUGGAAACUAUGCGGAAAAGAAACAAUAACGGAGAAACAGUUGCAACCGUAGAUACCACGAGAUACUACUCAGAGAUUCAAGAAGUGGACAACCCCAACAAUUACGAGGAUUUAAAAAUAUACACCGAGAUAUAAGUUGCCGAACUGAUAUACAUCCAACGCGUUUUUUUAUUUUCAUAAGUAAGAUACAAAACAUUUUAAUUAUAAUUUGACAGAUCCAUUUUGCUAUCGAUAAAAAAA